AUUGAACGCUGGCGGAAUGCUUUACACAUGCAAGUCGAACGGCAGCACGGGUGCUUGCACCUGGUGGCGAGUGGCGAACGGGUGAGUAAUACAUCGGAACGUACCCUGACGUGGGGGAUAACGUAGCGAAAGUUACGCUAAUACCGCAUACGUCCUGAGGGAGAAAGCAGGGGAUCGUAAGACCUUGCGCGUUAGGAGCGGCCGAUGGCGGAUUAGCUAGUUGGUAGGGUAAAGGCCUACCAAGGCGACGAUCCGUAGCGGGUCUGAGAGGACGACCCGCCACACUGGAACUGAGACACGGUCCAGACUCCUACGGGAGGCAGCAGUGGGGAAUUUUGGACAAUGGGCGAAAGCCUGAUCCAGCCAUUCCGCGUGCAGGAUGAAGGCCUUCGGGUUGUAAACUGCUUUUGUACGGAACGAAAAGGUUUGGGCUAAUAAGCUGAGCUCAUGACGGUACCGUAAGAAUAAGCACCGGCUAACUACGUGCCAGCCGCCGCAGUAA
rnacentral:rRNA from 1 species